rnacentral:rRNA from 1 species
AGAAUCAACGCUGGCGGCGUGCCUAACACAUGCAAGUCGAACGAGAAAGUGGAGCAAUCCAUGAGUAAAGUGGCGCACGGGUGAGUAACACGUGACUAACCUACCCUUGAGUGGGGGAUAACCUAGAGAAAUCUGGGCUAAUACCGCAUAAUACCUUCGGGUCAAAGGAGCAAUUCGCUUAAGGAGGGGGUCGCGGCCGAUUAGUUAGUUGGCGGGGUAAUGGCCCACCAAGACUAUGAUCGGUAUCCGGCCUGAGAGGGCGCACGGACACACUGGAACUGAAACACGGUCCAGACUCCUACGGGAGGCAGCAGUGGGAAUUUUGCGCAAUGGGGGAAACCCUGACGCAGCAACGCCGCGUGGAGGAUGAAGUCCCUUGGGACGUAAACUCCUUUCGAUCGGGACGAUUAUGACGGUACCGAGAGAAGAAGCCCCGGCUAACUUCGUGCCAGCAGCCGC